GGGUUGUGAGGUUAAGCGACUAAGCGUACACGGUGGAUGCCCUGGCAGUCAGAGGCGAUGAAGGACGUGCUAAUCUGCGAUAAGCGCCGGUAAGGUGAUAUGAACCGUUAUAACCGGCGAUUUCCGAAUGGGGAAACCCAGUGUGAUUCGUCACACUAUCAUUAACUGAAUCCAUAGGUUAAUGAGGCGAACCGGGGGAACUGAAACAUCUAAGUACCCCGAGGAAAAGAAAUCAACCGAGAUUCCCCCAGUAGCGGCGAGCGAACGGGGAGGAGCCCAGAGCCUGAAUCAGCAUGUGUGUUAGUGGAAGCGUCUGGAAAGGCGCGCGAUACAGGGUGACAGCCCCGUACACAAAAGCGCACAUGCUGUGAGCUCGAUGAGUAGGGCGGGACACGUGGUAUCCUGUCUGAAUAUGGGGGGACCAUCCUCCAAGGCUAAAUACUCCUGACUGACCGAUAGUGAACCAGUACCGUGAGGGAAAGGCGAAAAGAACCCCGGCGAGGGGAGUGAAAAAGAACCUGAAACCGUGUACGUACAAGCAGUGGGAGCACCCUUUGGGGUGUGACUGCGUACCUUUUGUAUAAUGGGUCAGCGACUUAUAUUCUGUAGCAAGGUUAACCGUAUAGGGGAGCCGGAGGGAAACCGAGUCUUAACCGGGCGUUAAGUUGCAGGGUAUAGACCCGAAACCCGGUGAUCUAGCCAUGGGCAGGUUGAAGGUUGGGUAACACUAACUGGAGGACCGAACCGACUAAUGUUGAAAAAUUAGCGGAUGACCUGUGGCUGGGGGUGAAAGGCCAAUCAAACCGGGAGAUAGCUGGUUCUCCCCGAAAGCUAUUUAGGUAGCGCCUCGUGAAUUCAUCUCCGGGGGUAGAGCACUGUUUCGGCUAGGGGGCCAUCCCGGCUUACCAACCCGAUGCAAACUGCGAAUACCGGAGAAUGUUAUCACGGGAGACACACGGCGGGUGCUAACGUCCGUCGUGAAGAGGGAAACAACCCAGACCGCCAGCUAAGGUCCCAAAGUCAUGGUUAAGUGGGAAACGAUGUGGGAAGGCCCAGACAGCCAGGAUGUUGGCUUAGAAGCAGCCAUCAUUUAAAGAAAGCGUAAUAGCUCACUGGUCGAGUCGGCCUGCGCGGAAGAUGUAACGGGGCUAAACCAU
rnacentral:rRNA from 1 species